UCCCUGGUAGUAUAUCGGUUAGUACACGCGCCUGUCAUGUGAUUGAAUGACCAGUCUCUCGACGCGCGAAAGCUGGGUUCGACUCCCAGCCAGGGAG